AUACUUACCUGGACAGGGUCAAUGGGUGAUCAAAUAGGCUCAUGGCCUAGGUUGGCGGCCUCCAUUGCACUUGGGAGGGUUGCCCGCUUAACAUCUCCCCAAGUGGAAGAGUGUACGUCAUAAUUUGUGGUAGUCGGGGUAUGCGUUCGCGCGACCCCUAC
rnacentral:snRNA from 1 species